UCCUCUCGCCAGUCUACGACUUCGACUGGCAACUACAACAAAGGAAAGACAAAAUUUUGGCGAGAAGAAAACAGAGGAAAGUAAAAGGUGGGGGGAGGCACAGAUUAAACUGGAGCAUCGCAGAAUCAAAACAGGAACAACACCUAUCACUUUCCGGGGGGAGGCAUUGGAAUUUUGGUAGGUGGCAGCGUCGCCAUCGCGAAAUCAUUGGAAGGGAUGAAGAUAUGGAUCUCUAGUCAAGGCGCUGGGAGGGGUAUCUUAUACACUUUCAUCAGUUUUUGGGAGGAGGAGGACGAGAAGGGGUCAAAGUUGGUUCCAACGCGCUUGGGAUGAGGCCGGGCUUUACCAUUUAAAAAUGCCAGGCUUUUGCACGGUUGUGCUUCCGGAGUACAGAGAUUCAAAGAAGGCCGAAGGCUCCGAAAAAAGAGAGUUUUUUCUUCUCCUCUUCCUGUAUACCCGAUCGAUCUGGAGCGCAUCUAACACUCGAAAGUCAUGGGCCGAAGAGAGCUCUCUCUGCCAAUCCGAAUGCUAUAAGCAGUGUGGCGGACUUUGCUUGUAAGGUUUGUUUCGGGGAGUUUUAUUUCGUUUCGCCCCCGCCAUUGCGCUUGUUUCCAUCACCCAUGGAAUGAUUGUCCAUAAUUGGUUUCGUUAGAUUGACUCACACAAUGUGGGUGGCCUUUCAUUCCUGGGCAAGUUUUGGUGUCGCCAUUAAGGCUCGCGCGCUCGCUCGAGCAUAAAUCCGGCAUGAAAAAACGAAAGCGGGGGUGGGAAUAUCCCCGCUUUCCUGCAUGCCGGACAUCGCGAUGUGUAACAAACCCACGGCCGUACGAGUUGGGGACCACUUUUGUACGGCUGGGCGCGGCACAUCCAACGGCUCUGUUUGAAUUUGACGACGGUCAGCUGGAUAUUCCGCCUGGCUUGCGACU